rnacentral:rRNA from 1 species
AUACGGAGGAUCCGAGCGUUAUCCGGAUUUAUUGGGUUUAAAGGGUGCGCAGGCGGCCAUUUAAGUCAGCGGUUAAAUCGUGGGGCUCAACCCCAUUCUGCCGUUGAUACUGGGUGGCUUGAUUGCGGUCGAGGUUGGCGGAAUUCGUUGUGUAGCGGUGAAAUGCAUAGAUAUGACGAAGAACACCGAUUGCGUAGGCAGCUGACCAGACCGCAAAUGACGCUCAUGCACGAAAGUGCGGGGAUCGAACAGGAUUAGAUACCCUGGUAGUCCGCACAGUAAACGAUGAAUACUUGUUUUCGGCGAUAUAAUGUCGGAGGCAAAGCGAAAGCGAUAAGUAUUCCACCUGGGGAGUACGCCGGCAACGGUGAAACUCAAAGGAAUUGACAGGG